rnacentral:rRNA from 1 species
GCAGGUACCUCGAGUAUGUACACAUUGCCCGUCACUCUUAGACCAACUAAGAUAAGUCGUAACAAAGUAAACUUACUGGAAAGUAAAUUUAGAAGA